rnacentral:rRNA from 1 species
GACGAACGCUGGCGGCGUGCUUAACACAUGCAAGUCGAACGGUAAGGCCCUUCGGGGUACACGAGUGGCGAACGGGUGAGUAACACGUGGGUGAUCUGCCCUGCACUUCGGGAUAAGCCUGGGAAACUGGGUCUAAUACCGGAUAGGACCACUGCCUGCAUGGGUGGUGGUGGAAAGCUUUUGCGGUGUGGGAUGGGCCCGCGGCCUAUCAGCUUGUUGGUGGGGUGAUGGCCUACGAAGGCGACGACGGGUAGCCGGCCUGAGAGGGUGACCGGCCACACUGGGACUGAGAUACGGCCCAGACUCCUACGGGAGGCGGCAGUGGGGAAUAUUGCACAAUGGGCGCAAGCCUGAUGCAGCGGCGCCGCGUGAGGGAUGACGGCCUUCGGGUUGUAAACCUCCUUCAGCACCGACGAAGCGCAAGUGACGGUAGGUGCAGAAGAAGGACCGGCCAACUACGUGCCAGCCGCCGCGGUAACAC